rnacentral:lncRNA from 1 species
CCGAGAUCCCGACGGAGUGUCCGGGCAUUUCCGAAUUUUAAAUUUUUUUACCGCGUGGUGAAGAAGCAAGGAAGAAAAAUGGAGGACAUUUUUGUUAUCAAACUUACCUUUAUUGGAAGGUAAUAUGCUUUAUUUAAUAUCAAUCCUUGUAGUAGAGUACUUAGAUUGCCAAUAUAGAUGGAAAUUUAGGACAUCGAGCCCGAACUUAAUGCGAUAUUUCAACAUAAAUUUGGUGCUUUUGCUUUGCACGUGGUUCGCUUUUAAUAUGGGCGAUUGUCGAACUUUAAACCGUGUUUUAAUUCAUAAUUAUUGUCGACCAAGUGAGUAAAAAGACUAAAUAAGAUCUAGAAUUGUUUAUGUUGUCGAAAAAAGUUGUUUAAUAUUUCCGAGUUCUUGCUGAAAUUAUUUUAUUGCCAUAUACAGAGAGGAGGCGCUUGAUCAGAGUGAGACGAAUAUUUUCAUCAGCUUGGACAUUUCAAUCCUGCAACAAAAUAUUUCAACAAUAUGGUGUUUACAAUUAAAAAUAAUUGUGUUUCUUGACUGCAGGAUGGUGUAAAUUUUGAUAGGUGGGGCUUUUCGGUAAGCGAGCUAGAGGCCAUGCCAUUUAAAAUCCACACCCCCCUACGGAUGAGGUCAGUAAAAUUUUAACCCCUAAGAAAAAAAGAUCAAAGUGCCGACACAAAACACCCCUCAGAAAUUUGUAAAUUUUCCCCUUACCCCUCAGAAAAAUUGCAGAGAUCAAAGGAUGCCGACAGGCUUAACCCCUCAGAAACGACUUUUUGAGUCACCCUUCAGAAAAACUCAUCUGUAGGGGGGUGUGUGGACAUUAAAUGGAAUGGCCCCUAGUCAGUGGCGAAGCUGAGGGCAUUUGACUAGUCGUUCUCUAAGACCCGCACAGCUUGAUUUUCGAAGUCUGGAAUGGCCAUUUCCUGCGAUUUCAGGGUGAAAUUUGUGCAAAGAGAGCGACAAAAAAGUGCAAUAACUGAUAAGAGGAAAAUUCUUAAUAUUAUUUCCACAAAAUUUAAUAAUUUCACUAUAUAUAUUUCAACUAAUUAACUGAAAAUUUUGCUCAAUAUAGCCAAUAUUGGCCGAAGAAAGAGGAGAAUACAGUAUUGUAUGUAUGCAUUAUGUCUCAAUCAAUUCCAUGGGUGCCCAACACCCCCCCGGGCGUUUGUCGGGCUUUUGUCAUUUUGGCGAAAAAACGUUGCAAAUGCCCCAGUAUGGGGUCCAAAUAAUGCAACAAAAUCCCCACCCUUGGGGACUUACAUUGACGCAAAUGCCCCAAAUGACAAAAUAUAAGUUUUCAGAGGAUUUCUGAUCCAAAAAAUCGAAUCCAAACUCUAUCACGUAUCAAUAUAUCUGUAUUUAAAAUCGAUUCUUAUAGCCAUUUCGUUUUAAAACGUUUUUAAUUAAAAUAUUGAAGUCUCAAAACUUUAUAUAGCAAUAUCAAACUGCAGAAGUAAGUCAAUGUAUCAACAGGAUGGACAAGAAAAAAGUCUUGUGUAUGUCCGCCAUGAUUAAUUUGCGAUAUGCACGCUUGUGUAAACAUGCAUACUAAAGUACGGCUAAAUGGCGAAACAAGCGAUAAAUAUUCGACUUUUUAGCCUCGAGCAAAUUCCCCACCCCAGGGCUAACCUGCAGAAAGCAAAUGCCCGACCCUGGGAACAAGUACAGUUGAGAAUGCCCGACAAACGCCCGGGGGGGGGAUGGGCAACCAUGGAAUUGAUUGAGACAUUUAAAUACCCUUCUGUAAUAUAUCUUUCUUUUGGAAUUGUGCAAAGGGCAACUGUAAGAUACUACAUUACAACGACGUAAAUUUGAAGCAGAAACCUAAACCUAAGAUACUUUGUUUAGAUAUUUGGUAUAUCUGUAAACCUCCAAUUAUAUAAGCACUCAUGAAUAAAGCAAAUGAACUGGUAGUAAAUAUUUUAUAUCAAUAGGAAAGGUCUUCACAAAUCUUGUUUAUAUUCGCCAUUAUAUACAGUAGAAUACACAAUCGAGUCUGUUCACAUGCAUUUUGUGAGCUAAAAUAUCUUGUUAGAAGCCAGAAAUAUUCUACCCAAAUCAAAAUGGCCUUUCUACGAUUUACUCGAUUGACGUUGGUCAAUUUCCACAUAUACAUAACUAAGAUAUUACUUGAAUAAAUCUCGACAGAAUUGCUGAAUAUUAAUUUACGGUAUUUAAUUAACUUGGUCAAAUUUUCAGCAAGUUAUGCAUGUGUGAGGAGCAAUUUAGCCAAUAGAAUGCGUUGGAAUGUAUAAUUUAGUCAUGCUCGCCUGACGAGAGCACAACUAACAGGCAGAUUACCUGUUAGUCAUGCUAUUAACCUGCCGUUGGGUGAAACUACGCAAUCCUACCUUGAAUUGGUUUAAAAUUAGAGCAAAAUCACUGGAUUUGAAAGGAUUCCGCACUUAAUAGAUGACGCAAGUGUACCAUAAAUCAUUUUUGAAAAUGGGGGGGGGGAAUUUGUUUUAAGACUAAAAAAUUAUUUUCUUUGAAAAAUGUUUAGUCGUGCCCAGCACGACCUCUAGCUUCGCCACUGGAGCUAGUAAGUUAGAUUAAUUUGAAGUUUGUAGGCUUUUGAAGUUUGUAUGGUUUGAAAAGAAGAUUGUUCUUUUGAAGCACAUCUACUGCAGGCUCAAAAAUAUGCAGUCACAGUGUAAAGCUUUUUUUCGACAUGGGCUGGCAAGGAUUCAGAGAAUGCUAAAAAAAUAAAAAGGACCGUAUUUGUUAAAUUUAAAAGCAUAUUGACUUGAUUUACUGGUAUUGCAAAUGCCUGGAGGCAAAAUUAAAAAGUUAAAAAAAACUUCCAAUCAAAUUUUAACAUUUCCAAUUGUUUAGCAUUUUUCUGGUCAAUUUUGAAAUUAUUAAAAAUAUGUGUUUCAUAUCCUUGAAGAGCACAAAUUUUUGUCAAAUAUUUUUUGGCUUGACAUUGGUCAGCAAUUGCUAUAAUUAUGAUCAUUUGGCAUUACCACAAUAUAUAAACAUCUCAAGAUGCAAUAACUGUGGUAAACAACCCAACCACAAAAAUCAUUAGAGCAGAGAAAAUAUGGUUGGCUGGAAAACCGGAACAUUGUUUCAGGGUCUGAUGUUCAUAUUGAGUUUUUCAUUGUGCUAGCCAAGCUAUUUACACCCUCAGUAAAAUUCUCAUAAAUUUUUGUAGAUGUGCAAUGCAAGUUCCAAGAAUGUUGCAAGACCUCAUGAUUAUGGAAAAUGGACACAUUCCAAGAUCUUGAAUAAGAGGUAAAUUAUUUUUCUUCAAAUUAUUUCUAACCUCCUCCUUGUAUUUCUUGGACAAUUUUCUUUGUAAUAUAUUAAUUUGUUUCAUGUUCUUAUUGGUGAGUUUUUUAAUUUUUUAGAUGUGUCUUGCAAUUUCAAAGAAUGUCUCAAGUUGUUGGCCGAAGUGUUCUUGAUCACAAAAAUGAACACUGUCAUUGGAAAGUAUAUAAAAGGUCUUAAUAUUUUCCUGUCUUAUCUUACAUGAAAUGUUUUGAACAUUAUGUGAUGGCUUGUGAUCAAUAGAUUAAAAAAAACCCAGCAGAAUAUUCCAGAAAUGACUUGAUUUAAGUUUCCUGUCACUGAUCACAAAAAUUCUAUAAUUGUCAAAGCAUAUAUUAGCAUUUUAUGAGCAAACCAAAAAUGACAAACUGUCUGUGUUUUUGAAAAAUUUUGCUUAAACAGUAAUGAUUUUGAGUUUAUCUGUGUUCUAUCUGAGAACAUAGUUGUUUCUACAUAUUUUCAAAGUUUUUGUCAAAUAUAAAAAAGUGAAAAGUUUGUUAGUUUUUGGCUUUGUUACAUCAGUUAAACAUCGAGAAGAUUGAGGUGGUUUUUAUUACAAACCAAAGCGGUUACUUACAAAUUUAUAAGACAUGUAACUUUAUUUCAGGAUUGAGUCAUCAUUUUAGUCAUGUUUGUUUGAGUAUGUUUUCAUUAAUUAAGGGACAUCAAUUUGUGUUUUGAACUUGUGAAAGUGCAAUUGUGAACACAGUAAACUUAUGUUCCAUCUCAAUCUUCUCUUGUUUAAGUGGACUUUCGGUGUUUGUUGAAAGUUUGGAAAGUGUAUCUGAAAAUCACAAUCUUUCAUUCAAUGUUGAUGCUGGAUGUUUUGAAAUAUUGAAUUCUACAAAAAGCGAUUAGUGAUCAAUUGAAGUAUACAAUACUUUUAAAAUUAGCACUGUUAGAACUGCCUUGUUCUUUAAUAGUCCUGUCUUAUUUAUCUCAGUACACUCUUAAUACAUGAGUUUGAUUAUUCCUGGACACAAAUAAUAUGGAUUUGUUGAAGAACAAAGCAGUUUUAUACAGUACUGACUAUAGAAGGGUUGUGUUCUUCAGUUGUUGUUUUUUUUUUCUAUUCUUGUUCCAACCACAUUGUGGUUUUUAACAAAAUUUGAAUUUUGGAACAAACUUUGUGAUUAUAAAAAAACUUUCCCAACUUUAAAACAAACAAUUAAGAUCAAAAUAAACUAGGAUAUUGCCCUUAUUAAUUACAAAGUGGAACUUACUUGGAUACAGAUGAACUGAAGCAGCGAACUAUAUUUAAUUUGGGGGGUAAUGUGAGAUGGAGAAAAUAAAAUAAAAACAAUCUUCAACAGAUGAAAAACAAUCGGCAAUGGAGGAAAAACAAUCGGCAAUGGAGGAAAAACAAUCGGCAAUGGAGGAAAAACAAUCGGCAAUGAAAAGUAUAUAUUAAUUGUUUGGUAAAACAAUCCAAUAAUUGGAAUAUUGAAGCUGAAGAUAAGAUCGACAGCUCUUUCUGCUACAUGUACUGUAUGUGGGCUUUAUAUACGGUACAUUAAUCAAUGCAUAAUUUGAUAAGAUUUAAAUCAAAAUUCAAGCAUGGAAUUAACCAUAUUUUUAGUAUUCAUCAAAAUUUGUGUGUGUUUCAUCAAACAUGAGAUACAAUGAUUGAGAUGCUCAAUGAUGAAGUACCAAAUUUUAUAAU